rnacentral:misc_RNA from 1 species
AAGUCGUAACAAGGUUUCCGUAGGUGCGUCUUGUUUACCUUUUGUCCUCGACACGUACAGCUUGCCGCGAAGAAUUGGGUCGCUGCGAACUUACCAUACCCACCGCAGGAAAACUCAUGCAAAACUUCCCGCUCGGGGGUUCUCCGGGACUUCCAGAGCUGGUAACCCGAACAACUGUUAACAAUGGAUAUCUU